GGGUUGUGAGGUUAAGCGACUAAGCGUACACGGUGGAUGCCCUGGCAGUCAGAGGCGAUGAAGGGCGUGCUAAUCUGCGAUAAGCGCCGGUAAGGUGAUAUGAACCGUUAUAACCGGCGAUACCCGAAUGGGGAAACCCAGUGUGACUCGUCACACUAUCAUUAACUGAAUCCAUAGGUUAAUGAGGCGAACCGGGGGAACUGAAACAUCUAAGUACCCCGAGGAAAAGAAAUCAACCGAGAUUCCCCCAGUAGCGGCGAGCGAACGGGGAGGAGCCCAGAGCCUGAAUCAGCAUGUGUGUUAGUGGAAGCGUCUGGAAAGGCGCGCGAUACAGGGUGACAGCCCCGUACACAAAAGCGCAUGUGCUGUGAGCUCGAUGAGUAGGGCGGGACACGUGGUAUCCUGUCUGAAUAUGGGGGGACCAUCCUCCAAGGCUAAAUACUCCUGACUGACCGAUAGUGAACCAGUACCGUGAGGGAAAGGCGAAAAGAACCCCGGCGAGGGGAGUGAAAAAGAACCUGAAACCGUGUACGUACAAGCAGUGGGAGCCCCACCACCAAAGCAUUCUCUGGUGUUGAAGGCCCUGCAAAGCAGCAUCGCGGUGGCGGAGCGUCGUUUGCGACGCCCAACACACAAAACAAGCGGUGAAUGCUUUGGGGUGGGGUGACUGCGUACCUUUUGUAUAAUGGGUCAGCGACUUAUAUUCUGUAGCAAGGUUAACCGAAUAGGGGAGCCGGAGGGAAACCGAGUCUUAAUUGGGCGUUAAGUUGCAGGGUAUAGACCCGAAACCCGGUGAUCUAGCCAUGGGCAGGUUGAAGGUUGGGUAACACUAACUGGAGGACCGAACCGACUAAUGUUGAAAAAUUAGCGGAUGACCUGUGGCUGGGGGUGAAAGGCCAAUCAAACCGGGAGAUAGCUGGUUCUCCCCGAAAGCUAUUUAGGUAGCGCCUCGUGAAUUCAUCUCCGGGGGUAGAGCACUGUUUCGGCUAGGGGGCCAUCCCGGCUUACCAACCCGAUGCAAACUGCGAAUACCGGAGAAUGUUAUCACGGGAGACACACGGCGGGUGCUAACGUCCGUCGUGAAGAGGGAAACAACCCAGACCGCCAGCUAAGGUCCCAAAGUCAUGGUUAAGUGGGAAACGAUGUGGGAAGGCCCAGACAGCCAGGAUGUUGGCUUAGAAGCAGCCAUCAUUUAAAGAAAGCGUAAUAGCUCACUGGUCGAGUCGGCCUGCGCGGAAGAUGUAACGGGGCUAAACCAUGCACCGAAGCUGCGGCAGCGA
rnacentral:rRNA from 2 species